CGAAGACAGAACUUUUGCAAACAGUUUACGACACAUCACGGAAGAAGCCGAUAAAGAUGCGAUUAUUUGGUACCUUUUGUCCAGCCUGAUACCAGGACCCUACAUUACAAAGCUAGCUAGCGAUACACAACAACAGUUAGGCAAGAAAAAUAAUCUAUCAGCAGCAAAAAAGAGAAAAAUCACAAAACAACGAGUAACCCCUGCGGAAGCUCGUUAUUCUUCUUUUUUAAUUUUGCCGAAUCUUGCGGAAAUAGAAGAAGCUGUCAAACAACGGCAGGAAUACCUUGCCAAAAAUAAUUUAUCGUGCCAGCCUAUUGCUGUUCUUAUAAGAUCUAUCGAUAAUGCUGUAGACUCAUACGUUUAUAUUGAAAAUAAAAGUUACAGAACGAAAUCGACAUUAGCUGCUCUCGAUUUGACUUUUAAAAGUUUCUUCACCUUAGAUUGUGAAUAUCCGGUUACAGGA